GAUGAAGAACGUAGCGAAAUGCGAUAAGUAAUGUGAAUUGCAGAAUUCAGCGAAUCAUCGAAUCUUUGAACGCACAUUGCGCCCGCCAGUAUUCUGGCGAGCAUGCCUGUUCGAGCGUCAUUUCAACCAUCAAGCCCCAGGCUUGUGUUGGAGCCCUGCGGCUGCCGCAGCCUCCCAAAACCAGUGGCGGGCUCGCUAUCACACCGAGUGCAGUAGUUUACUCUUCGCUCAGGGCGUGUGGCGGGUGCUAGCCGUGAAACCCCCAACUUCUCAAGGUUGACCUCGGAUCAGGUAGGAAUACCCGCUGAACUUAAGCAUAUCAAUAAGCGGAGGA
rnacentral:misc_RNA from 1 species